UGGUUGCUCUGGCAAGAGAGAGGGGUCGCCAACACCGUAGUCGUACUGGGUAGCAGCGGCGUCGGUCUCGGUGUCUAGCGAGAGAAGAGGGGGAAGAAACAAUAAAUAUAAUGCAAACAAAUGCAUGACGAUGCAUGACAUGACAAAGCGUGAUGCUAGGUGUGCCCUAACGCGGUAUGAGGUGAUACCGGUGAAGGGGGGAAACAGCCGGGAAAGUAUUCCCGGUGUUUCGCGUUUUCGGGCAGAGGAGCCGGAGGGGGAAAGUUGCGAGUUCGAUAGGUUAGGGAUGUGUGGCGGAUGAGCGGGCUGUGUAUCCGGAUUCGUCUCGUCGUUCUGAGCAACUUUUAUGUCCAAAGUUUUUCCAUCCGAGCUACGGUUUAUUUUAUAUUAAUUUUCUAAAGUUUUUAUUAAUUUUUCGAAUUUAAUUAUUUAUUUCAAUAUUAUCCAGAAUAGUAAAUGAUGACGUCAGCAUGUCAUCAUGACGACGUCAGCACUCAACUGUGCAGUUGACUGGGUCAACUCUGUGUGGGGCCCACAUGUCAUUGGCUGUCUAAUUAACAGGUUAAUUAAACAUGGUUAAUUAGUUUAAUUAGUGGUUAGGUUAAUCUAAUCAGGUUUAAUUCAUUUAAUUAAUUCUUUAAUUAAUUAAUUAAUUAUCAUUUUAACUAAUUUUAAUUAUUAUUUAUUAAUUCAUUCAUUUUCUAAAUUAUUAUUUUUUAUUUCGUUUUCGUUUCAGGGGGCGUGGGGCCCCGCACACAGGGGCACCGCGGGGCGGUUGCUAGCGGGCGCUAGGGUGCUGGGUGCGGGCACUCCCGAGCGGGCACUCGCCCGCAGGGCGGGACGAGGCCGCCGAGGCAUCGACGGCGAGGCAAGCCGGCGCGGCCAGCCAAGGCCACGCCGGGCAGAGAUGAGGGAUGGCACUCACCGACGGGCAGCGACGGGCGCGGGCAAACCAGGCGAUGGCCGCGGCUGAUAGGGCGCAGGAAGGGGAGAGGCGAGAACGCGACGCACGGGGAAGGAGCAUCAGGGGCGAGGAGUGCCACUGGAUGACGCGCAGCGGGCGCCGGCCGCAGGAGCGUGCGGGCGCGCACCUCACGCGGCGGGGCGGCUGCUGUGCGAGCUGCGGCGCGGGCGCGCAUGAUGCGGUGGGGGAGAACAGGGCGGUGGCACGGUGCAUCAACGCGGAGCAACGGGCACGGCCGGACGGUGCCAGGGCGCGUGCGGGACAUGGGGGAGAGGGGAGGGCGAGGCCCUCACCAGCGUUGGCGGGCAGAGGAUCGGCGUGGCUCGGUGGAGCCGUCGAGGGGGAGACGAGGACGGGGCGACGGGGAGGCAGUCCGGCGUGGGGGCUCCAGCGACGGGGAGUUCGAGGCGGAGGCGAUCCGGGUGGCUGCGGCGAGGCGUGGUGGAGACCCGUGUGGACGGGGGUUCGGGGAGGAUGUCUGGCAACGGUGAGGCGGGGGCGAUGGCCGACGCGGCCGGCGCGGCGAGAGGCGCCGUCAAGCUCCCGAUCCAAUCUGGAUCGGGGGAGCAGAGGAAGGAGUGGGACN
rnacentral:lncRNA from 1 species